rnacentral:rRNA from 1 species
UAGCUCACUGGUCGAGUCGGCCUGCGCGGAAGAUGUAACGGGGCUAAACCAUGCACCGAAGCUGCGGCAGCGACACUAUGUGUUGUUGGGUAGGGGAGCGUUCUGUAAGCCUGUGAAGGUGGCCUGUGAGGGUUGCUGGAGGUAUCAGAAGUGCGAAUGCUGACAUAAGUAACGAUAAAGCGGGUGAAAAGCCCGCUCGCCGGAAGACCAAGGGUUCCUGUCCAACGUUAAUCGGGGCAGGGUGAGUCGACCCCUAAGGCGAGGCCGAAAGGCGUAGUCGAUGGGAAACGGGUUAAUAUUCCCGUACUUGGUGUUACUGCGAAGGGGGGACGGAGAAGGCUAUGUUGGCCGGGCGACGGUUGUCCCGGUUUAAGCGUGUAGGUGUGUGUUCCAGGUAAAUCCGGUUCACUUUAACACUGAGGCGUGAUGACGAGGCACUACGGUGCUGAAGCAACAAAUGCCCUGCUUCCAGGAAAAGCCUCUAAGCAUCAGGUAACAUCAAAUCGUACCCCAAACCGACACAGGUGGUCAGGUAGAGAAUACCAAGGCGCUUGAGAGAACUCGGGUGAAGGAACUAGGCAAAAUGGUGCCGUAACUUCGGGAGAAGGCACGCUGACAUGUAGGUGAAGUGAUUUACUCAUGGAGCUGAAGUCAGUCGAAGAUACCAGCUGGCUGCAACUGUUUAUUAAAAACACAGCACUGUGCAAACACGAAAGUGGACGUAUACGGUGUGACGCCUGCCCGGUGCCGGAAGGUUAAUUGAUGGGGUCAGCGCAAGCGAAGCUCCUGAUCGAAGCCCCGGUAAACGGCGGCCGUAACUAUAACGGUCCUAAGGUAGCGAAAUUCCUUGUCGGGUAAGUUCCGACCUGCACGAAUGGCGUAAUGAUGGCCAGGCUGUCUCCACCCGAGACUCAGUGAAAUUGAACUCGCUGUGAAGAUGCAGUGUACCCGCGGCAAGACGGAAAGACCCCGUGAACCUUUACUAUAGCUUGACACUGAACAUUGAGCCUUGAUGUGUAGGAUAGGUGGGAGGCUUUGAAGUGUGGACGCCAGUCUGCAUGGAGCCGACCUUGAAAUACCACCCUUUAAUGUUU